rnacentral:rRNA from 1 species
GACGAACGCUGGCGGCGUGCCUAACACAUGCAAGUCGAGCGGGGUUGAGGCGAGAGGUAACUCGAGCUUCUACCUAGCGGCGGACGGGUGAGUAACGCGUGGGCAACCUGCCUCAAGGUUUGGGAUAACAGCCCGAAAGGGCUGCUAAUACCGGAUAUGCCCAUGGCCUCGCAUGGGGCUAUGAGCAAAGGGGAAACCCGCCUUGAGAUGGGCCCGCGUCCCAUCAGCUAGUUGGUGAGGUAACAGCUCACCAAGGCGACGACGGGUAGCCGGCCUGAGAGGGGUGACCGGCCACACUGGGACUGAGACACGGCCCAGACUCCUACGGGGGGCAGCAGUGGGGGAUCUUGCACAAUGGGCGAAAGCCUGAUGCAGCGACGCCGCGUGAGCGAAGAAGGCCUUCGGGUUGUAAAGCUCUGUCUGGAGGGACGAACAAAAUGACGGUACCUCCGGAGGAAGCCACGGCUAACUACGUGCCAGCAGCCGCGGUAAUAUCACGUGUACG